rnacentral:sRNA from 1 species
CAAGGUGCUUCGGGGGCCUACGGAAGAGCGACUAGACAUCAAGCAUAAUCGGCCGCGCAGAGACUGCGUGGCAGAGGGCAAAGUGUGUGACCCACUGUGCUCCUCUGGGGGAUGCUGGGGCCCAGGCCCUGGUCAGUGCUUGUCCUGUCGAAAUUAUAGCCGAGGAGGUGUCUGUGUGACCCACUGCAACUUUCUGAAUGGGGAGCCUCGAGAAUUUGCCCAUGAGGCCGAAUGCUUCUCCUGCCACCCGGAAUGCCAACCCAUGGAGGGCACUGCCACAUGCAAUGGCUCGGUAUACUAGUAGCACCAGGAUCUCCAAGGGAGACAGAGAAGGGGCAAUACUUGGAGCAUCUGGGGAAUUAUAUGGCUAAGGAUAGCACAGAGAGGCCAGAUAAUGCUAGGGCCUGCAGAUAGAAGAUCCUGAAUGUCUGGGUUGGUCUUUGCUGGGAGGUAUGGAAUUGACCUUGGGAUCUGAUUCUUCCUGACCUUCUCUCUUCCACUCAGGGCUCUGAUACUUGUGCUCAAUGUGCCCAUUUUCGAGAUGGGCCCCACUGUGUGAGCAGCUGCCCCCAUGGAGUCCUAGGUGCCAAGGGCCCAAUCUACAAGUACCCAGAUGUUCAGAAUGAAUGUCGGCCCUGCCAUGAGAACUGCACCCAGGGGUGUAAAGGACCAGAGCUUCAAGACUGUUUAGGACAAACACUGGUGCUGAUCGGCAAAACCCAUCUGACAAUGGCUUUGACAGUGAUAGCAGGAUUGGUAGUGAUUUUCAUGAUGCUGGGCGGCACUUUUCUCUACUGGCGUGGGCGCCGGAUUCAGAAUAAAAGGGCUAUGAGGCGAUACUUGGAACGGGGUGAGAGAUUUGAUCCCUUUCUUCAAGGAAGUAGUGUGGUCCCCUAGAAGAACACUGGUCAGAGAAAUGGGAGGCAUGCAUUCUAGUCCUGAUUUUGCCAUUAAUUUGCCACAUGACUUUG